rnacentral:rRNA from 1 species
AGGACGAACGCUGGCGGCGUGCUUAACACAUGCAAGUCGAACGGAGUUAAGCGCUGGUUGAUGCUAGCUUGCUAGUGGAUUCCUUGCUUAACUUAGUGGCGGACGGGUGAGUAACGCGUGAGUAACCUGCCCUUCAGUGGGAAUAACGCCCUGAAAAGAGCGCUAAUACCGCAUAACAUACAGUUGUCGCAUGGCAGUUGUAUCAAAGAUUUAUCGCUGAAGGAUGGACUCGCGUCCGAUUAGCUAGUUGGUGAGGUAACGGCUCACCAAGGCGACGAUCGGUAGCCGGACUGAGAGGUUGAACGGCCACAUUGGGACUGAGACACGGCCCAGACUCCUACGGGAGGCAGCAGUGGGGGAUAUUGCGCAAUGGGGGGAAAAACCCCCUGACGCAGCAACGCCGCGUGGAGGAUGACGGUUUUCGGAUUGUAAACUCCUUUUAUGGGGGACGAACUAAGACGGUACCCCAUGAAUAAGCUCCGGCUAACUACGUGCCAGCCGCAGC